AGUCAUGCAUUGUUAUUCUUUAUAUUUUCAUCAUUUCUGAUUUUAUGUGGUAGGUGAACUGGUUAGGCAUGAUGGCAUGAGAAGUAUACUCCAUUACUGAUAUAGCUAGUUGGAAGCUUCAAUAUAUUGAUAACUGCCCAUAGCAAGGUGAAGGGUGAGUUGUCUAUGCCACUAUUCCAUUUCUUUCACUAUUCUAUUAUGCCGCUUUUAUGAUCAUGCCAUGGUGCCAUUUUAUUGGUCGUGCCACUGUUCCAUUAUGCCAUUGUAUUGGCCAUACCAC
rnacentral:lncRNA from 1 species